rnacentral:rRNA from 1 species
AAUAGCCUAACGGCUGAACCAGCAACUUGGAGGAAUGUAUAGCGUAAGCUAGUUGUGUUAACUAAUAGUUAAUGCAGCAUCGACUCUGUCGAUUAAAGUUCUGGGUAGAAUUUGAUAAUGACAUUUUCUAUCUAUGUGUCUUGACCAAAUCACGUGCCAGCAGUCGCGGUAAUACGUGGAAGACUAGUGUUAUUCAUCUUUAAUGGGUUUAAAGGGUACUUAGACGGUAUAUUCAGCCCAAAUAAUAUGAGAGGGUACUGAUUAAACUAGAGUUUUAUGCGAGGGGGUGUGUACUAGUGGAGUAGAGAUGAAAUUCUGUCAUACCAUUAUGAACAGGCAACGGCGAAAGCAACCCUUUAUGUAAAAACUGACGUUGAAGGACGAAGGCUCAGUACACCAACAGGAUUAGAUACCCUAGCAGUCUGAGCAGACAAUGAUGAGUGUCAUAGGCAAGAAAGAUAAAAAAAGGAAAAAUACAAUAUUUUUCUUUUUAUUUUGUCUAUAAAUGAAAGUGUAAGCAUUCCACCUCAAGAGUAAUGUGGCAACGCAGGAACUGAAAUCAUUAGACCGUUUCUGAAACCAGUAGUGAAGUAUGUUGUUUAAUUUGAUGGUCCGCAAAGAACCUUACCACAAUUUGUAUAUUUAUUUAUAUUAUCUAAAUACAAGAGUUGCACGGCUGUCUUCAGUUAAUGUCGUGAGAUUUUGGUUAGUUCCAUAAAAUUAACGUAAACCCUUACUUUAUUUAUAUAUGAAGUAGUUCGCCACUAUAUUGGAAUAUGAUAAGAGGGAAUAAGACAAGCCAUCAUGGCCCGAAUAUUGUGGGCUAUAGACGUGCCACAUAUACCUAAACAAAGGGACGCGAAGUUGUGAAACUGAGCUAAUCCCCCAAAAAAGGAAAUAGCAU